UUCAAACCUCGUUGCAGGUCCAACAAGUCAUAUUUCAGUGUUCAAACUCGGUUUUGUUACAUUCACGAUAAAAAAAAAAAAAUCGAUCUUCACUAGCUAGUAAAUCAAAAGGUAUCUUUACUAGUAAAGUGAGAUCAAUAAUAAAUCUGCAUGCAUACUCUUGAGAAAAUGUGUACUAUAUAUAAAUAACCAAAGAUAUAGAAUGGAACGAGAAAAUUUCUCUAGUAACUAUAACACCAAUCUGUAACGAACAUAUUAUAAUAAACCGCGGAGCUCUUCUAGGCCAUCAGAAAAAUGGGUACUACACAAAAUUUUAUAACCCCACUUUACGAGGGAUCCACGUAGAUAGGUGACUUUAUUGGUUUAAGGUGGUCGGACAAUGCCACCUUCAAUCUCCG
rnacentral:lncRNA from 1 species